UGGAAUGUCUGCUGUCUUAUAGGUCAGAUAAGAGCUCUGUUUUAAAACGAGAUGAUAAUGGGAAGAUCCCUCGGAAUAUGUUUCUACUGAUAAGAAUACUCUACUUGUUGCUCGAUUCCCCUCUAUAGAAUGUUGUAAAAUCAUUUCCAAAGGGUUUGUUGAGGCGUUCACAUCAUCAUGCAAAUCUUUCUCCUGCUCCUGGUAUUAAUCCUAACACUCUGGAACUCUGUUGUCACAGGAGAUUGCCUGACAGAUCCUGUGACAAUGCUCUGCAUUCUGGACCCAAAUCAGGGCAAAUAGCCGUGUGUAUGUAUAUAUCCUUUUGUCCCAAUAAAGUACGAAAGUGGAGCACGAUGUGGGCUUCUAAGUAA